UAACUUUUGAUUAAUCAAGGGAGCAGGAAGCUGGGUGCAGGAGGAAUCCUAGUUAGUGUCUUUUCUCACGUUCAUGUCCAGGUUAUGAAGUCUUACAAGGGCAAAAUCCUUUCAACAAUCAUAUGUAAUGAAGAAUAACGUUUAUAUGUGUAAAAUAGACAUUUGCGUUCAAUUUCAAAUACCUGUAAGAAUUACACUAUCUUGCAGUUUACAGUUAACUAUUGUUACCUCUUUGAUGGAGAAUAUGGUACAAGAUAUUAUAGGUAUUAGAGAUUUUAUCCUUUUCAGCCUUUCCCCUGAUUUACAUUCGGGCCUUGUCAUCCAAACAUAAUACACAUACAAACUCACCUUGGCUUUGAAAUUAAGUGCUUUUUGCAUGCUGUUACCCUUUAGUGACUAGCUAACUUGGCAUUUAUUUUUUAUAGAGUUGUUUGUUUCAAGCCAAAGUUUACUUCCUAAGAAUGUUGACCAGCCACUUUUCCUUCUUUCGCUGUUUUAUGAUUAACAUCAGAUUUCUGCUUGAGCACAGUGCUGAAGAAAUAGUCUGGUUUACAGGACUUCAAAGGCCAUCAGGGCAACAAACACCAGAGGCGUACUUUAUAUUUGGUGAGACACAUUUGGAACUCCGUCCCUCCCUCGACUCCUAUCUCAACAAGACCGAAACUUUGGCUCAUGGGUCACUAACUGAGGAAGUCAAUGUCCUGGGCAGCCACUGAGAAGCAGAUGCCUUGCUCUGGGAGAUUCAAGUCUAAGAGGGGACAUGCUCCUACUGCCAGACAGUGCCAAUGAGAGUUUCUAGCUCAUCUGUUGCUUCUGGAGUUUUCCUCUGAAUUAGCCAGCAAUUUUCAACGAUGAAAAUUAUGGUGACGAUAUUCCCAGCCCAAAAUUGGGACCUGUGCUGUCAUGAAGUUUUGUCCUACUCCUCACUGGAAAAAACAGUCUAAGAUACAGUCUGGAUCUCAGAGUAUUAGCAUUUCUGUGAUAUUUUUAUAGUUUAAGGAACCAACGUGUGAAACACUUAAAACCGGAUUGUUCCAGGAAAUGCAUGUGCCUUGUAUAAAAAGUGUAACAGAUGUUAACAGCAGAGUUGAGAAUAGUACAUAACGCCCACUAAAGCAUGAGUUCCCUUUCAUUGAAGCCUCAUGUCAUCUUUCCUCAUCUUUCCUACCUGCUUUAAGAAAAGCUUUGUGGCUGGUUGUGGAUCAAGCAGAUCAGCUCAGAGAGUGAACUUAGGCUAGUCACUUACCUACCCAGCCCCUCAUCUCUCCAUACCCCAUGCGCGAUUCUCCAUUUUAUACAACGGGACUGACUGACUUCCCUUGCUUCAAAGGGAUGCUAUGAGCCUGAAUGAGGCUGUGUGUCCCUAAUGCCUUGAACCUAAGUUGUAGACUAACCGGCCUCAAACAAAAGCAGUAGUGUGCCUCUAGGCAAGGUACAGGGGCGGUGAAAACCUCAUUCAUGCCAAACUGAAAUCCUUUUAGCUUUGUCUCUGAAGUACAAAUGAGUUAUUUAUUAGUAAGAACACUUUUGCAAAAGGGUAAAUUUUAACCAGCCCCAAUGUAGGGUGGCUUUAGAGGGGAAGGAAGAGUGACAAUAAUUCCCAAGUCUACUCUAGUGAAAGUUUUUUUUUUAAUUUUUAAAAAUAAUUUUAUUUAUUUUUGGCUGUGCUGGGUCUUCACUGCUGCACAGGUUUUUCUCUGGUUACGGUCCUCGGGCUUCUUGUGGUGGCUUCUCUCGUUGAUCUAUGCCAAAGCCUUUGACUGUGUGGAUCACAGUAAACUGGAAAAUUCUG
rnacentral:lncRNA from 1 species